UUUCCUAUUGGGCACCUUGUUACAGCUAUUGAAGAAACCCAUAUCUUUUUUUCUGACUCAUCCCUCACUUUUAUUAUUUAUCCAUCUUGUUGUUCCCACUUUACUACAAUUCCUCUCUCAUUCAUUGGUUCCAAUUCUUCCACUUUCAACAACAACAAUAAUCGCUGUACUCUCACGCUUAUCCUUUCGAUUCCACCGAGGAUUAAUUUAUAACAACUCUUCGUUUCCAUGUCUUUAAUCGGAGUUUUUCACCAAUCCUCCGUUGUUGUUAUGGACAUAAUUGGAAGCCUCGUUACUUUCAUAGCUCCCCUAUGGAUUGCCGUUAUCUUCGGUGUUGUUGUUGGUUGGGCCUGGAAACCUAAAUGGGCCAUCGACCCGAAUAACUAUUCUUGGACUCAAUUCUUCAAGUUUCGGGUCCCUUGGAAUACUGAUUCGGACCUUCAAAGUCAACCCGGUUCAUCAUACUCCACCAGUUCUGGUUCUUCGGAAAGUGAAAAGGGAUUGAAGUGUGUAGUGACGGAACAUGAUUUGCGUUAUUUAAGUAAGUUGGUUGAGGAAAAAGAUGGUGGGCCCGCUUGGAUUCAGAUGAUGGAUCGUUCUACACCAACUAUGAGUUACCAAGCUUGGCGUAGGGACCAAGAGAGUGGACCGCCACAAUAUCGCAGUAGAACAGUGUUUGAAAAUGCGAGCCCGGAGCUGGUUAGGGAUUUCUUUUGGGAUGAUGAGUACCGAUUGAGGUGGGACGAUAUGCUUAUACAUGCGUCAACUAUUCAAGAGUGUGAGGUCACUGGAACAAUGAUUGUGCAUUGGGUGCGCAAGUUUCCCUUCUUUUGCAGUGAUAGAGAAUAUAUCAUAGGUCGUCGAAUUUGGGAUGCAGAGCGAGCUUACUAUUGCGUGACUAAGGGAGUACCUUGUUCCUCUAUGCCAAGGCACAGCAAACCUAAAAGAGUAGAUCUAUAUUAUUCGAGCUAUUGUGUUCGUGCAGUUAAAUCACGAAACGAUGGCCAGCUGACUUCAUGUGAAGUGUUACUGUUUCAUUAUGAAGAUAUGGGCAUACCCUGGGAAAUCGCAAAGCUUGGAGUUCGUCAGGGUAUGUGGGGAGCAGUUAAGAAGUUCGAUCCAGGACUACGUACCUAUAAGAAAGAAAGGGAUUCUGGUGUUCCAUUGUCACGAUGUGCUAAUGCUGCUAAAUUCAACACCAAAGUAACAGCUGACUAUGUGAGAUCUGUGGAAGACUCAACCAGUAACUUGUUGGAGACUGAAAAUCAAGAAGAUUCUUCUGACAAACCGAUCGGGAGAAGUAUACCUAAGCUUCUAGUUGUUGGCGGGGCCAUUGCCCUCGCCUGCACUCUUGACCAAGGGCUAGUGACUAAGGCAGUUAUAUUUGGAAUAGCCCGAAGGUUUGGAAAAUUCGGAAGGAGGUUGUGACAUGUGGGUACAUUCUGCUUUUCUUUUUGUUUCUUGUCGAGGAAAUACUGGCCGAGUAAUUUGUGGCAAUAGAGGUAGACACUGAGAUGUGAAUUUCUUGCCUUCAACCAAAUGUUUACUCAGUAUCUAGUUGGCAGCCAUGGUUUGAGAGAAAUGAUAUUAUUCUUUUUCUCCAUUUGUUUGAAGAUAAUGAUGCAGCUUUUAAGUGGAAAUAGGGACAUUGUAUAUUUAAGUCAUUGAAGAUUCUCGUGCUGCAUAAAUAACAUCAAUAUUAUUCAGAACUCUCUUCUUCCGUGGAAGCUUCGGGUUGUACAUAUUCAUUGUGAAGCCAUUGCUUCAUGCAUGUGCUGAUUUCUGGACUAAGCUGACUUAUUACAUAUUGAUAAAAUGAAAUGCUCCUAUUUUGAACCCGAAUUCUA